rnacentral:tRNA from 1 species
GGAGGGGACAGCUCAGUGGUAGAGUGCCUGCCUAGCACGCAUGAGGUGCUGGUUCAAUCCCCAGUACCUCCU